rnacentral:rRNA from 1 species
GACCCUAUAGAGUUUAAUAUUUAAUUAAUAAAUUAUUUUUUAGCAUUUAAUGAUAAUUUAUUAAUUGAUUAUUUGAUUGGGGUGAUUGAAAAAUUUAAGUAACUUUUUUUAUAUAAGAACAUUAAUUUAUGAUUGCUUGAUCCAUUAAUUAUGAUUAUAAGAUUAAAUUACCUUAGGGAUAACAGCGUAAUUUUUUUUAAGAGUUCAAAUCGAAAAAAAAGAUUGCGACCUCGAUGUUGGAUUAAAAUUUAUUUUUGGUGUAGAAGCUAAAUUUAUUGGGUCUGUUCGACCUUUAAAAUUUUACAUGAUCUGA